GCUGUGUUUUGGGGGGGUCUCAGCCUGGUUUUUGGGGGUCUCCCUGUCCAGGGUCCCCCCAGUCCCAUUUCUGGGGGUCCUGGGCUGUGUUUUGGGGGGGUCCUGGGCUGUUUUUUGGGGGUCUCCCACUCCGGGGUCCCCCCAGUUUCACUUCUGGGGGUCCUGGGCUGUGUUUUGGGGGUCUCCCAGACCGGGAUCCCCCCUGAGCCCCCCCAAAUCCCAUUUCUGGGUGUCCUGGGCUGUUUUUUGGGGGUCUCCCUGUCCAGGGUCCCCCCAGUCUCAUUUCUGGGGGUCCCGGGCUGUGUUUUGGGGGGGUCCCGGGCUGUUUUUUGGGCUGGGGUCCCCCCUGAGCCCCCCAAAUCCCAUUUCUGGGGGUCCCGGGCUGUGUUUUGGGGGGGUCCUGGGCUGUUUUUGGGGGUCUCCCGGUCCGGGGUCCCCCCAAUCCCAUUUCUGGGGGUCCCGGGCUGUUUUUUGGGGGGUCUCAGCCUGGUUUUUGGGGGUGUCCCACUCCGGGGUGCCCCCAGUCUCAUUUCUGGGGGUCCUGGGCUGUGUUUUGGGGGGUCUCAGCCUGGUUUUUGGGGGUCUCCCACUCCGGGGUCCCCCCAAUCUCAAUUCCGGGGGUCCCGGGCUGUGUUUUGGGGGGGUCCCGGGCUGUUUUUCGGGCUGGGGUCCCCCCUGAGUCCCCCCAGUUUCAGUUCUGGGGGUCCCGGGCUGUGUUUUUGGGGGGCUCCUGGGCUGUUUUUUCGGGCUGGGGUCCCCCGUGAGCCCCCCCAAUCUCAUUUCUGGGGGUCCCGGGCUGUGUUUUUUGGGGGUCUCUCGGUCCGGGGUCCCCCCAGUUUCAUUUCUGGGGGUCCCGGGCUGUGUUUUUUGGGGGGGGUCUUGGGCUGGGGUCUCCCCAAUCCCAUUUCUGGGGGUCCUGGGCUGUUUUUUGGGGGUCUCCCUGUCCAGGAUCCCCCCAAUCCCAUUUCUGGGGGUCCCGGGCCGUGUUUUUGGGGUGUCCCACUCCGGGGUGCCCCCAGCCCCCCAAUUUCGCCCCCAGACCACAAAGCGUUCUACGUCAUCGCCAGCUGGGAGGACGGGGCUCAGAUCUAUGAGCUGGUGGCGCCGAGCGUGGCCGACAGGAAAACCUGGUGCAGCAUCAUCACCGACGCCGCCGGGUCCCUGAAGCUGCCGGAGACCCUCCGGGGGAAGGGGGCGCAGCCCGGGGGGGGACACGGCCCCCCGGCCCCCCUGGAUUACCGGGACCCCUCCGAAAAUGGGGGGGGGUCCCUGAAGGAGCCGCUGCCCCUGGAUGAGCGGGACAAGGACGGGGCCGUGGAAGGCACCGAAUUCGGGGACCCCCCUGAACGGGGGGGGCUGGGGGGGCUCCCCCGACCCCCCCGCGGCCCCGAGGGGGGGGGGCUGGCGGCCGCCGCCCUGCAGAGAGGUGAGACCCCCACCCAAAAUGGGCUCUGACCCCCCUGAGCCCCAAAACCCACCCCAAAUCCCCCCAAAAUAUCCCCAAAUUCCCCCUAAAUUCCCUCUAAAUAGCCCCAAACCCCCCCAAAUGCCCCCGAAAUACCCCCAAAUUCCCCCAAAAUACCCCCAAAUUCCCCCAAAUUCCCCCAACACCCCCCAAACUUCCCCAAAUUCACCUAAAUCCCCUGAAACCCUCCAAAACCUCCGAAAUUCCCCCGAAAUUCCCCCUAAAUCUCCCCCAAAUCCUCCCCAAAUUCCCCCAAAUCCCCCCCAAAUCUCCCCAAAUCCUCCCCAAAUUCCCCAAGUCCCCUAAAAUACCCCCAAAUUCCCCCCAAACUCCCCCCAAACUCCACUCAAAUUCCCCCAAAUCCCCCCAAAAUAUCCCCAAAUUCCCCCUAAAUUCCCUCUAAAUAGCCCCAAACCCCCCCAAAUGCCCGUGAAAUACCCCCAAAUUCCCCCAAAAUACCCCCAAAUUCCCCCAAAUCCCCCCCAAAUCCCCCCAAAAUCCUCCCCAAACCCCCCAAAUUCCCCCCAAAACCCCCCUAAAUCCCCUCCCCCCCCCAGUCUCGGCGCUGCGGCGGCGGCUGCGGGUGGGGGAGGGGCCGGCGCCGCCCCUCCCCCCCGGGCAGGAUUUGGGGGGGGGUCCCGGCGCGACCCCCCCCGAGCAGGAGCGGCGGCACGCGGGGGAUGGGGCCGAGAGCGACGGGGACCCCCCCGAGGGGGCGGCAGGUGGGGGGGGGGCAAUUUGGGGAGGGGGCGAAAAAAUGGGGGGGGGGCAAAAAAUGGGGGGGGCAAAAAAUGGG
rnacentral:lncRNA from 1 species